UACGGGGGGGGCAAGCGUUGUUCGGAAUUAUUGGGCGUAAAGGGCUCGUAGGCGGCCAACUAAGUCAGACGUGAAAUCCCUCGGCUUAACCGGGGAACUGCGUCUGAUACUGGAUGGCUUGAGUUUGGGAGAGGGAUGCGGAAUUCCAGGUGUAGCGGUGAAAUGCGUAGAUAUCUGGAGGAACACCGGUGGCGAAGGCGGCAUCCUGGACCAACACUGGCGCUGAGUGAGCGAAAGCCAGGGGAGCAAACGGG
rnacentral:rRNA from 1 species